AUUAGAAUCAUGUGAGGGAAAAGAAGAGGCGUCUUUUCUCCACAGAAAGAAAGAAAGACGACCAUAAUUCAUUUUCUUGGUGGCUGGCAAAAUCACAACAGAUUUAUUUAUACCCUUUUUGCCCUUCCAUUUCAUAUGCCGGUGUAGUUGUUCCUCUCUUACAUGCACACAGAUAGAUAAAUAUAUUUUUAAAAUAAAUAAAUAAAUAGAGAUCUCUCUUCUCUCUUCUCUCUUCUCUCUGAGAAAGAGAGUAUACAACACCAACGACGCAUUUUUCCCUUUCUUCUUCUUCUUCUAUUCAACAACCUCACACCAUGACGGGAUUCGGUGCCGGACACUGUUUCCCCUAUCCUCUCUUCCCUCUCAUUCUCGUUCUCUCUCUCCUUCACGCGAUCAUUGCUUUCAUUGCUUCUUUACAGUUACUGAGGAUUCACUUGAGAAGCUUACAAGAGGGUUGGACUCGACAAAAAGUGUUUCAUCUAUUGAUUGGUUCUUCGAAUUGGGGUUACUUCACUUAUUUGGCAUUGAUACUUCUUGCUGCUUGCAAGGGAUGGACAUAUUGGUCACACUCUUUUGGUUUUAUCUUUAUGGCAUUCCCCAAAGUACUUUGUUUUGCAGCAUUUCUUCUCCUUCUAUCUUUCUGGGUUGACCUUUGCCAUCAGUCAAACGAUGACGAUGACUAUGAAGGAAGUUUUUCUGAGGAACCUUUGUUGGGAAAAACUUCAAAUGAAUCAAUUUUAAGAAACAGGGACAGACAUAGAAAGUGUUUUCCUAUUCGUUUUUCCCGUAUCGGAAAUCGUCAAAAGAUUGUGCUUUUGGUUAUGUUACUAAUUUUCAUCACCAUGAUGGCAUUUUCUGUAAUAAUAUGGAUUGGGCUUGGAAAGAAUCCAAUUGACUCUGAAGUGGCAGCUCGGGUGUACUUGGAUGUUUCUGCUAUUGGAAUGCUUUUCUUAGGAGGAGCAUUAGCAUGUUAUGGAAUCCUAUUAUGCUUGAAGAUGAGCAAAGUGAGAGCUGAGAAACCUUCAUCUGAAAUGGGGAAGGUUGCAGGUUUAACUGUGGUCUCUGUACUAUGCUUCACAUCAAGUUCCUGUGUAGAACUUUUAACCGACGUUCCUAUGAUGUAUCACUGGCAUCCGCAGCGUAUGAGUGAUGUUUAUGUCUCCCUUCUACUGAUUUUGUAUUAUUUUGUGGGUUCAUCAAUACCCUCAGCAGUGGUACUGUGGGUAAUGAGGGAAUUACCUCCUGCAGAAGCUGUCGGUGUACUAGAAGAAUCAAGUACAUUAGCUUUUGUUGCUAACAGUUCAGUUGCAGUUCAUCAUCCUCAGCGCUGGACUACAGUAACAAGCAUGCAGAAUCAGUAGAAAAAAUGUUUUUUACAUGGAUAGCUCUUGACGGUUGAGGCUUUAAGAUUCAAAAUCACAUUGUUUCUGACAAGUGUCAUCACACAAGUCACAAGACAUCAAGAGCUAGUCCUAUAUAAUGUGUUGACCUUUGCUGUAUAUGUUCUUGUCCCGUUGGAGUUUGCACAAAGCUUAUUGAAGUUUCUUUAGAAUAUGUGGAACCUUGGAGCAAGAAUGAGAGAAAAUGAUGAUGGUGGAUGCAAGCACUUAAAAGGCCUUAUGGAUUCCAAUCCCAAUGUACUUUGGUUUUAAAUCUAAAUGUAUAUAGCAGCGAUUUGACAUAUGAAAAUUUAUUUUCCUGCUAUACAAGUUUUGGGAUGCAAUGGUGGUUGGGAAUCAAUAACACUUGCCUGAUGUGAAUAUAAAUGUUGCUAAGCGACCAUGAUUUUAACCUGCUUGCAAGCUGAAUCAAUAUCACAGUUUUGACGAGGAUCUUUUUCUA